rnacentral:rRNA from 1 species
CACGUAGGGCGCAAGCGUUGUCCGGAAUUAUUGGGCGUAAAGAGCUCGUAGGCGGCCUGUUACGUCUGCUGUGAAAACCCGGGGCUUAACCCCGGGUCGGCAGUGGAUACGGGCAGGCUAGAGGUAGGUAGGGGAGAAUGGAAUUCCCGGUGUAGCGGUGAAAUGCGCAGAUAUCAGGAGGAACACCGGUGGCGAAGGCGGGUCUCUGGGCCGAUACUGACGCUGAGGAGCGAAAGCGUGGGGAGCGAACAGG